CGGCCGGCCGUUAGCCCCGGCACGCGCCGCCGGCCCCGCGCGCUGCUUCAGGCGUUCCGCGGCUCGCGACCAACGGCGGCCCCCGCGGCAGCCUCCCUCAGGCUCGUCCCGGCGGCGCUGGCGACACGGCUGCGCUUCCCCGGGCGCCAGGCGCCCGCAGGGAGCUGCCUCACGGUCCCGGGGCACCCUGCGGCGUUUGGGACAGGGCACUGCACUGCCCUGAGACUGCCGCCAAAACCGCGCUGGUGCAUAGAGGCACAGAAGCACAGAAUGGAGCUUCAGUGAAGAGGAGCAGCACCUGUACAACUGAAGGAACUCUUCAAAGAUUCUGGAUUGGGAGAAGCACAGAAAAUCAACUUCUUGGCAUAAAUCAGGAUACUAGUGAAGCAUAUGUCUUUCUCUGUCAUGGAAAGGGAAAAGAUGUUCCAACAGUCCAAGGCAGUACGAAGCUGAGAAGGAAUUUGUACUGUUGUCUUUGGUACAUUGCAGUGCCAAUACUGGAAGGUAUACAAGUGACUGCAACAAAACUACUGGAGCUCCAAGGGAAGAGGUGGGAAUGCUUGCCCCUGUCACUGCACCACAUGACCAAAAUAUGCAAAAAAAUAUUGGGCCAUGUUAGUCCUCCAAUAAAUCCAUCUGUCAUGUGCUAAUCCUGUCUGGAUAUCAGAGCUUUAACUCAAGAUUGUUCUUUAAAAGCUAUUUACUCUAUAUUCCUCUGCAGGAAAGGACAUUUCUCUCUGAUUUGUUGGCAUUGACUUGUCUUUGCUUUGUAUGCGUGCAGUUCAGAAUAUGAUGGAGGCCUGCCCCUGUAUGGUGCUCUUAGCUUUACUAAGUUGAUUAUAAUUAAAAUAGAUUGUUGUUUGACUGAUCCUCUUUUCUUAAGUAGAGCUAAUGCAGAUUAACUGUCCAUAGACAGAGACUUUAAGUAUCCAGUGUAAGAAAAAUCUUGCAUUAAAUAUUAGCAGUGGCAUCACUACGUAUCACCAUUGUCAUUUAACGUGUUGUGCUUUUUGACAAUAUAAUGAAAAUUUGCAACUAAAAAUAUACUGCUAUACAUAAAAACCUCUCUAGGACUUAAUACUCACUUGUGUUUCUUAUGCAGUGUCUCACUGAAUGGCAGUUCACUAUACAGAAAAGUAAUCCUCAGGUGUCUUUCUGUCUAAGAUUUAACACAGUUGAAUAUACCCUGCUGGUCACAAUGCUUCAGUUUUUAUAUGAUGCAUAUACACGCUGCAAGGUAUUUCAAACAAAUUCUACAAUUUUAAACAAAUCAGUUAAUUUAACUAAAAAUAAUGAUAGAACCUACAUUUCAUUAUGUGAAUGAUAAAAUUUUUAAAUACAACCUCAAUACAUGUGAUUCUAGGACACAAAUAGAUGUGGAAUUUAAGAAUAUUUUUCUCCUGAUGCUGUAUGUCCUGAGGCUGAUAAGGGGAAAAAAAAAGCAAUGCUAGGGAGGUCUUUGAUUUUUCACUAUGCAUGACACUCCAGUUUCUGGCCUGUUGGUCAGAUUGGCUGGCAGAAUAAUUGCACCUACAGGAAUGACUGGUAUAGUUGCAUGUGAAGCACAGCAGACAGGCACGCCUUUUUUCAUUCCAACAGAGAUGGGUGCUUAAUGCUGCAAAUGGCUGCCUCGGCCAUGUGCCUGAGCAUACAUCCUAGGUAUAAAGAUACUGGUUGUGCAAAACCUCAUACUGAACCACAACUGAAAUGAGGAUAAAUGGAAACAAAGCAAAAUAGAAACUAACAAAAUUUGCUCCCUUCUCUGCUCACUGUAUGAAUACAAAGGUUAAGCAUAGCCUAACUUAAGCUUUUGUAAGCAAAGGAUUUCAUCUCUAUACCAGAGAGUACUUCUAUUUUGAAAAUAGAUAUUUUGUGCAAAUAUAUUUCAGGCUUUGAAUUACAAUUCACAUAUACAAUACACAUAGAAUUUGUUGUAAGGUGCAUUACCUCUUUUAACUCAAGUAGCCCAUAUGGGAAGGUUGUUUCAAUUAGGAGUGAAACGUGAUAAUGAAAGCAUAAAUUCUUUUUAUGCAGCCAUCCUUAAUCACAAAGAACAUUGAGACAAACGUCACAAAUUUCAAAGGCAAAGUUGUUCACCUUCCCAGUCAAAGCUCCAUUUAAAGUUUAAUUCUUUAAUUUAACUCUAAUUAAUUCUGAAUUAAAAAUUAGCUGUGCCUAACAAGUACUUUUGACAAAAAGCUCACAAAGCAGCACAAUCUAGUACAAGUCAGAACCAGACUUAGUCAUUUUUACUCCAGAAGCCUCCCAAACUAAGUUUUCUGGCACCUCUCUGUCUGCCUGUAGUCCAUCUCCUCUCUAAUUAACAGUGAAGACUUACUCAUGGAUUGUCAAGUUCUUUAGCACAUGAAAGAAAAUCUGUACGGGCAGUCCCAGUUGCGUAGCUGCAGCUGCUGGAAUCAAAUAGAGAAAGAACCAGCAUUCAGGAGAGCUACCUCAGAACCAGGUUAAGGACUUCCUCUCGGUUUGUGAUCAGCUAGAGCUGUAAGAGCAGCAACAUUUGCUAGAAUGUGGAGCAAAUUCACAAGUUGUUUAAAUUGGAGCUAAAAGAUAUGCCUCUGUUACCUACCCUACUAACUGAAACUUAAGUUCUGCCUUUGAUGUACGUAGUUUACGAGAGUCUCCAAAAACAUGUUAUAUGUCUUUUUUCUUCUAUAGGCCCAGAUUCAAAGCACACUAUUGAUAUUAAAAGCUGA